CUCGCGCAAUGGUCGAAAGCCUGACGCAGCCAUGUCGCGUGAAUGCUGCAGGAUUUCGGAUUGUAAAACUCUUUCACCGGGGACGAUAAUGACGGUGCCCGGCGACGGAUCUCCGGAUAACUUCGUGCCAUGAGCCGCGGUAAUACGAAGGGGGCUAGCGUUGCUUGGAAUUACUGGGCGUAAAGGGCGCGUAGGCGGACAUGUAAGUCAGGGGUGAAAUCCCAGAGCUCAACUCUGGAACUUCCUUUGAUACUGGGUGUCUUGAGUGUGAGAUAGGUAUGUGUAACUCCGAGUGUAGAGGUGAAAUUCGUAGAUAUUCGGAAGAACACCAGUGGCGAAGGCGACAUACGGGCUCAUUACUGACGCUGAGGCGCGAAAGCGUGGGGGGCAAACA
rnacentral:rRNA from 1 species